UACAGGGGGUGCAAGCGUUGUUCGGAAUCACUGGGCGUAAAGCGUACGCAGGCGGCUCGCAAGGUCGGGUGUGAAAUCCCGGGGCUCAACCCCGGAACUGCAUUCGAAACCGUCGGGCUUGAGUACGGGAGAGGAGAGCGGAAUUCCUGGUGUAGAGGUGAAAUUCGUAGAUAUCAGGAGGAACACCGGUGGCGAAAGCGGCUCUCUGGCCCGAUACUGACGCUCAUGUACGAGAGCGUGGGGAGCAAAC
rnacentral:rRNA from 1 species